GACGAACGCUGGCGGCGUGCUUAACACAUGCAAGUCGAACGGUGAAGCCCUUCGGGGUGGCUCAGUGGCGAACGGGUGAGUAACACGUGAGCAACCUGCCCCUGGCUCUGGGACAACCACUGGAAACGGUGGCUAAUACCGGAUAUGACCCGCCUCGGCAUCGAGUGUGGGUGGAAAGUUUUUCGGCUGGGGAUGGGCUCGCGGCCUAUCAGCUUGUUGGUGAGGUGAAGGCUCACCAAGGCGACGACGGGUAGCCGGCCUGAGAGGGCGACCGGCCACACUGGGACUGAGACACGGCCCAGACUCCUACGGGAGGCAGCAGUGGGGAAUAGUGCACAAUGGGCGAAAGCCUGAUGCAGCGACGCCGCGUGAGGGAUGACGGCCUUCGGGUUGUAAACCUCUUUCAGCUCCGAAGAAGCGAAAGUGACGGUAGGAGCAGAAGAAGCACCGGCUAACUACGUG
rnacentral:rRNA from 1 species